rnacentral:rRNA from 1 species
UACGGAGGGGGCAAGCGUUGUUCGGAAUUACUGGCGUAAAGCGCGCGUAGGCGGCGAUGCAAGUCAGAGGUGAAAUCCCAGGGCUCAACCCUGGAACUGCCUUUAAUACUGCUAGUCUUGAGUUCGAGAGAGGUGAGUGGAAUUCCGAGUGUAGAGGUGAAAUUCGUAGAUAUUCGGAGGAACACCAGUGGCGAAGGCGGCUCACUGGCUCGAUACUGACGCUGAGGUGCGAAAGCGUGGGGAGCAAACAGGAUUAGAUACCCGCGUAGUCC